rnacentral:miRNA from 1 species
AGGCGUGGUGGCGGGCGCCUGUGAUCCCAGCUACUCGGGAGACUGGGCAUGAGAAUCACUUGAACCUGGGAGGCAGAGGUUGCAGUGAGC